rnacentral:tRNA from 1 species
GCCAGCGUAGCUCAGUUGAUAGAGCAGUCGCUUCGUAAGCGAAAGGUCGUGGGUUUGAGUCCCACCGCUGGCUCCA